rnacentral:rRNA from 1 species
AGGCGCCUACGGGGGGCAGCAGUCGGGAAUAUUGCGCAAUGGAGGAAACUCUGACGCAGUGACGCCGCGUGCAGGAAGAAGGUUUUCGGAUUGUAAACUGCUUUAGACAGGGAAGAAAAAAGACAGUACCUGUAGAAUAAGCUCCGGCUAACUACGUGCCAGCAGCCGCGGUAAUACGUAGGGAGCGAGCGUUGUCCGGAAUUACUGGGUGUAAAGGGAGCGUAGGCGGGGAUGCAAGUUUGG